rnacentral:rRNA from 1 species
GAUGAACGCUGGCGGCGUGCCUAAUACAUGCAAGUCGAGCGAACGGACGAGAAGCUUGCUUCUCUGAUGUUAGCGGCGGACGGGUGAGUAACACGUGGAUAACCUACCUAUAAGACUGGGAUAACUUCGGGAAACCGGAGCUAAUACCGGAUAAUAUUUUGAACCGCAUGGUUCAAAAGUGAAAGACGGUCUUGCUGUCACUUAUAGAUGGAUCCGCGCUGCAUUAGCUAGUUGGUAAGGUAACGGCUUACCAAGGCAACGAUGCAUAGCCGACCUGAGAGGGUGAUCGGCCACACUGGAACUGAGACACGGUCCAGACUCCUACGGGAGGCAGCAGUAGGGAAUCUUCCGCAAUGGGCGAAAGCCUGACGGAGCAACGCCGCGUGAGUGAUGAAGGUCUUCGGAUCGUAAAACUCUGUUAUUAGGGAAGAACAUAUGUGUAAGUAACUGUGCACAUCUUGACGGUACCUAAUCAGAAAGCCACGGCUAACUACGUGCCAGCAGCCGCGGUAAUACGUAGGUGGCAAGCGUUAUCCGGAAUUAUUGGGCGUAAAGCGCGCGUAGGCGGUUUUUUAAGUCUGAUGUGAAAGCCCACGGCUCAACCGUGGAGGGUCAUUGGAAACUGGAAAACUUGAGUGCAGAAGAGGAAAGUGGAAUUCCAUGUGUAGCGGUGAAAUGCGCAGAGAUAUGGAGGAACACCAGUGGCGAAGGCGACUUUCUGGUCUGUAACUGACGCUGAUGUGCGAAAGCGUGGGGAUCAAACAGGAUUAGAUACCCUGGGUAGUCCACGCCGUAAACGAUGAGUGCUAAGUGUUAGGGGGUUUCCGCCCCUUAGUGCUGCAGCUAACGCAUUAAGCACUCCGCCUGGGGAGUACGACCGCAAGGUUGAAACUCAAAGGAAUUGACGGAGACCCGCACAAGCGGUGGAGCAUGUGGUUUAAUUCGAAGCAACGCGAAGAACCUUACCAAAUCUUGACAUCCUUUGACAACUCUAGAGAUAGAGCUUUCCCCUUCGGGGGACAAAGUGACAGGUGGUGCAUGGUUGUCGUCAGCUCGUGUCGUGAGAUGUUGGGUUAAGUCCCGCAACGAGCGCAACCCUUAAGCUUAGUUGCCAUCAUUAAGUUGGGCACUCUAAGUUGACUGCCGGUGACAAACCGGAGGAAGGUGGGGAUGACGUCAAAUCAUCAUGCCCCUUAUGAUUUGGGCUACACACGUGCUACAAUGGACAAUACAAAGGGCAGCGAAACCGCGAGGUCAAGCAAAUCCCAUAAAGUUGUUCUCAGUUCGGAUUGUAGUCUGCAACUCGACUACAUGAAGCUGGAAUCGCUAGUAAUCGUAGAUCAGCAUGCUACGGUGAAUACGUUCCCGGGUCU